AUCAGCCUUUCGGGUGCGAUUCUGUGGAGUGUGAGGAGCUUAACACCUUCAUGCUUUGCAUAUUUGUGCUCUUGGGUGUACUUGCCCGUGUGGUUGGUUAACAUCAAUUUUGGUGGUCAUAAAAUGACUGGAGGAAUGUAGCUUCGAUCUCGUAUUGAAGUGUUAUAGCCUUCGGUAGAUGUGAUGAUCGAGAUUGAGGAUUGCAACGGAUACCCUUCGGGGCUACCUGUCUGGUCUCUGAUCGUUGCUCUGGGCCGAAAGCUUGCUUACGGUUAUCAAAGUCGAUGGUCAAUAGGUUAGAACGGGUUAAAUUCGUUAAGGAUGUUGACGUAAUGGCUUU
rnacentral:rRNA from 1 species